UGGGGAAUAUUGGACAAUGGGCGCAAGCCUGAUCCAGCCAUGCCGCGUGAGCGAUGAAGGCCCUAGGGUUGUAAAGCUCUUUCACCGGUGAAGAUAAUGACGGUAACCGGAGAAGAAGCCCCGGCUAACUUCGUGCCAGCAGCCGCGGUAAUACGAAGGGGGCUAGCGUUGUUCGGAUUUACUGGGCGUAAAGCGCACGUAGGCGGACUUUUAAGUCAGGGGUGAAAUCCCGGGGCUCAACCCCGGAACUGCCUUUGAUACUGGAAGUCUUGAGUAUGGUAGAGGUGAGUGGAAUUCCGAGUGUAGAGGUGAAAUUCGUAGAUAUUCGGAGGAACACCAGUGGCGAAGGCGGCUCACUGGACCAUUACUGACGCUGAGGUGCGAAAGCGUGGGGAGCAAACAGG
rnacentral:rRNA from 1 species